CAGCAGCCGCGGUAAUACAGAGGGUGCAAGCGUUAAUCGGAAUUACUGGGCGUAAAGCGCGCGUAGGUGGUUUGUUAAGUUGGAUGUGAAAGCCCCGGGCUCAACCUGGGAACUGCAUCCAAAACUGGCAAGCUAGAGUACGGUAGAGGGUGGUGGAAUUUCCUGUGUAGCGGUGAAAUGCGUAGAUAUAGGAAGGAACACCAGUGGCGAAGGCGACCACCUGGACUGAUACUGACACUGAGGUGCGAAAGCGUGGGGAGCAAACAGGAUUAGAUACCCGAGUAGUCCCUGUCUCUUAUAC
rnacentral:rRNA from 1 species